rnacentral:rRNA from 1 species
UAGGGAAUAUUGGGCAAUGGAGGCAACUCUGACCCAGCCAUGCCGCGUGCAGGAUGAAGGCGCUCAGCGUUGUAAACUGCUUUUAUCUGGGAAGAAAAGUAGUCCUGCGGGAUUAUGUGACGGUACCAGAGGAAUAAGCACCGGCUAACUCCGUGCCAGCAGCCGCGGUAAUACGGAGGGUGCAAGCGUUGUCCGGAUUUAUUGGGUUUAAAGGGUGCGUAGGUGGUUUUUUAAGUCUGGUUUGAAAGCUGGUCGCUUAACGAUCAGAUGUGGCUGGAAACUGAGGAACUUGAAUGCGUUGGCGGUAGCCGGAACGGGUCAUGUAGCGGUGAAAUGCAUAGAUAUGACCCAGAACACCGAUUGCGAAGGCAGGCUACUACGACGUGAUUGACACUGAGGCACGAGAGCAUGGGUAGCGAACAGG